AUGAACGCUAGCUACAGGCUUAACACAUGCAAGUCGAGGGGCAGCAUUUCAGUUUGCUUGCAAACUGGAGAUGGCGACCGGCGCACGGGUGAGUAACACGUAUCCAACCUGCCGAUAACUCGGGGAUAGCCUUUCGAAAGAAAGAUUAAUACCCGAUGGUAUAAUCAGACCGCAUGGUCUUGUUAUUAAAGAAUUUCGGUUAUCGAUGGGGAUGCGUUCCAUUAGGCAGUUGGUGAGGUAACGGCUCACCAAACCUUCGAUGGAUAGGGGUUCUGAGAGGAAGGUCCCCCACAUUGGAACUGAGACACGGUCCAAACUCCUACGGGAGGCAGCAGUGAGGAAUAUUGGUCAAUGGGCGCAGGCCUGAACCAGCCAAGUAGCGUGAAGGAUGACUGCCCUAUGGGUUGUAAACUUCUUUUAUAUGGGAAUAAAGUUUUCCACGUGUGGAAUUUUGUAUGUACCAUAUGAAUAAGGAUCGGCUAACUCCGUGCCAGCAGCCGCGGUAAUACGGAGGAUCCGAGCGUUAUCCGGAUUUAUUGGGUUUAAAGGGAGCGUAGGUGGACAGUUAAGUCAGUUGUGAAAGUUUGCGGCUCAACCGUAAAAUUGCAGUUGAUACUGGCUGUCUUGAGUACAGUAGAGGUGGGCGGAAUUCGUGGUGUAGCGGUGAAAUGCUUAGAUAUCACGAAGAACUCCGAUUGCGAAGGCAGCUCACUGGACUGCAACUGACACUGAUGCUCGAAAGUGUGGGUAUCAAACAGGAUUAGAUACCCUGGUAGUCCACACAGUAAACGAUGAAUACUCGCUGUUUGCGAUAUACAGUAAGCGGCCAAGCGAAAGCAUUAAGUAUUCCACCUGGGGAGUACGCCGGCAACGGUGAAACUCAAAGGAAUUGACGGGGGCCCGCACAAGCGGAGGAACAUGUGGUUUAAUUCGAUGAUACGCGAGGAACCUUACCCGGGCUUAAAUUGCAUUUGAAUAUAUUGGAAACAGUGUAGCCGUAAGGCAAAUGUGAAGGUGCUGCAUGGUUGUCGUCAGCUCGUGCCGUGAGGUGUCGGCUUAAGUGCCAUAACGAGCGCAACCCUUAUCUUUAGUUACUAACAGGUCAUGCUGAGGACUCUAGAGAGACUGCCGUCGUAAGAUGUGAGGAAGGUGGGGAUGACGUCAAAUCAGCACGGCCCUUACGUCCGGGGCUACACACGUGUUACAAUGGGGGGUACAGAAGGCAGCUACCUGGUGACAGGAUGCUAAUCCCAAAAGCCUCUCUCAGUUCGGAUCGAAGUCUGCAACCCGACUUCGUGAAGCUGGAUUCGCUAGUAAUCGCGCAUCAGCCAUGGCGCGGUGAAUACGUUCCCGGGCCUUGUACACACCGCCCGUCAAGCCAUGAAAGCCGGGGGUACCUGAAGUACGUAACCGCAAGGAGCGUCCUAGGGUAAAACUGGUAAUUGGGGCU
rnacentral:rRNA from 1 species